rnacentral:rRNA from 1 species
UACGUAGGGUGCGAGCGUUGUCCGGAAUUAUUGGGCGUAAAGGGCGCGUAGGCGGCGUGACAAGUCACUUGUGAAAUCUCCGGGCUUAACUCGGAACGGCCAAGUGAUACUGUCGUGCUAGAGUGCAGAAGGGGCAAUCGGAAUUCUUGGUGUAGCGGUGAAAUGCGUAGAUAUCAAGAGGAACACCUGAGGUGAAGACGGGUUGCUGGGCUGACACUGACGCUGAGGCGCGAAAGCUAGGGGGAGCAAACGGG